AGGAGAAGGAAAGGGUUGUGCAUGCUGAAAUGGCAGUGGUGGGCCAGACUGUGGAUGCUCAGCAAAGUGGGAAGGGCGUCAAAGAACCAGCCAGGGCUGUGAGUGGCGAGAUAGGUUGACAGAGCUGAUCUUUGGAUCCUGGCAACUGUGAUGGAGGGCUACAGGAGGAGGAGGGGGGGAAUGCCUAUGUUUGCUGAAUUAGGAAUGGUGGGGGAGGCUGUGUAUGCUGAGGUACAGCUUGUGGGAAGAUCAGUGAUUGGUGACAUAUGAAGUAAGAAUAGAGCUUUGGAUGGUGACGUAAUAAAGGCCCAAGGACUCUGAAAGAGAAGGAAGGGGCCGUUUGUGGUGAUCUGAGUGACAGCGGGGCAUGCAUUCUGGGUUGGCAGUGGUGGGUGGUAUUGUGUGUGUUGAUGUCCAGGGGUGGGCAUGGCUCUGCAUGCUGAGGUUGGAGUGGUGGGUGGUGGUGCAAGUCUUGCCCUAGGCAUUUAGGGUCUCCAGAGUACAAGGAAGAGGCUGUAGGUAUUGACUUAUGGAGAGAGAGGGCGACCUUUGGAUAGUGACAUACUAUGGCCACUGGAAGGAGAAGAGCAAGACUGUAUGCUGAAGUAGGAGUGGUGACCUAGGGUGUGUCUCAACAGUAACAGGGAUGGUUGUCAAUGGUAAGAUAUGAAGUCGGCCUGAGGCGUUGGACGGACAUUAGAUACAAUGCGAUUCAGGGCCAUUGGACGUGGGGGGCGGAGCCGUGCAGGUUAAAGUGAGGGUAACUAGUAAAGGUUGUGAGCGCUGACCCAGUUGGGUGAGGCCUUGGGAGAAGCAGGGCAGUGUUGUGAGCUGUGGAUCCUGUCACACUACAGUUUGCACUGCUGAUGAAGGGCUGGGCUGUGAGUGCUGACCUCUGUGGCUGGGUCCUUGGGAGCAGUGGUAUAGAAAGUGGGAAGUGAGCAUUGAGUUCUAACCUCAUAGAGGAGAUGCUAAGGGAGAAGCAGCGCUGAUGGAGUUGACGAUAACUAGGGGCAGAGAUGAAGGACAAGCAGGGGGCUGCGAGUGCUGUGGUAGAGCUGGAGGAGCUUCUGUGAGACCCAGGCUUCUUCCUCCUUGGAUGACUGCCAGCUUCCUACCUGACAGCUGACCACAAACUUGGAGCCAUUUCAAAUCAUGAGCCAGGGCACCCUGAAUGUAAACUGCUCCUCCCCCUGUACCCUGCUGUACCAAAGAACUGGAACUUGCCCAAGGAACCACAUCCUUGAAGUAGCUGUCUUGUACUGGGGAGCUAUAGAAGGGCUCCCUAUCCUGACUCACACAAUUUCCUGAGAGUAUGUGUAACACGAAAAAGACCCAGAGACAGAUAUUGGGGUUGAAGCUUCAAGCUGAAGAUCAGAGAAGCAAAACAGCAGCCACUAGCUCUUACCUCUACCUCAGUCUGAAAGGGCCGUCUUGUCCUCAGCAUGACUGAACUCUCCACACAACCUCAGACUGCAAUCCUGUCUCCACCAAGCCUCAAACUGCAAUCCUCUACUGUAGCCUCUCCCUUUUAUACAUUUCAAAUCCUGAGAUUAAAGGCAUGUGAUCUUAAGUGCUGUGAUCA